GUAUCCUGUCUGAAUAUGGGGGGACCAUCCUCCAAGGCUAAAUACUCCUGACUGACCGAUAGUGAACCAGUACCGUGAGGGAAAGGCGAAAAGAACCCCGGCGAGGGGAGUGAAAAAGAACCUGAAACCGUGUACGUACAAGCAGUGGGAGCACCCUUUGGGUGUGACUGCGUACCUUUUGUAUAAUGGGUCAGCGACUUAUAUUCUGUAGCAAGGUUAACCGAAUAGGGGAGCCGGAGGGAAACCGAGUCUUAAUUGGGCGUUAAGUUGCAGGGUAUAGACCCGAAACCCGGUGAUCUAGCCAUGGGCAGGUUGAAGGUUGGGUAACACUAACUGGAGGACCGAACCGACUAAUGUUGAAAAAUUAGCGGAUGACCUGUGGCUGGGGGUGAAAGGCCAAUCAAACCGGGAGAUAGCUGGUUCUCCCCGAAAGCUAUUUAGGUAGCGCCUCGUGAAUUCAUCUCCGGGGGUAGAGCACUGUUUCGGCUAGGGGGCCAUCCCGGCUUACCAACCCGAUGCAAACUGCGAAUACCGGAGAAUGUUAUCACGGGAGACACACGGCGGGUGCUAACGUCCGUCGUGAAGAGGGAAACAACCCAGACCGCCAGCUAAGGUCCCAAAGUCAUGGUUAAGUGGGAAACGAUGUGGGAAGGCCCAGACAGCCAGGAUGUUGGCUUAGAAGCAGCCAUCAUUUAAAGAAAGCGUAAUAGCUCACUGGUCGAGUCGGCCUGCGCGGAAGAUGUAACGGGGCUAAACCAUG
rnacentral:rRNA from 1 species